GAUAAACGCUGGCGGUGUGCUUUAUGCAUGCAAGUCGAACGGGUUCCGCAAGGAACCAGUGGCAGACGGGUGAGUAACACGUAAGCGACCUGCCCUAAAGUGGGGAACAACUCUGAGAAAUCGGAGCUAAUACCGCAUGUGAUCCUAGUUUUGAACUAUUAGGAUUAAAGCCGUAAGGCGCUUUUGGAGGGGCUUGCGUCCGAUUAGAUAGUUGGUGGGGUAACGGCUUACCAAGUCGACGAUCGGUAGCUGGUUUGAGAGGACGACCAGCCACACGGGGGACUGAGACACGGCCCCGACACCUACGGGUGGCAG
rnacentral:rRNA from 1 species